AGGGGCGUGGCUCAGCCUGGUCGAGAGCGCCUGUCUCGGAAGCAGGAGAUCGCUGGUUCAAAUCCAGUCGCCCCUA
rnacentral:tRNA from 1 species